GACGAACGCUGGCGGCGUGCUUAACACAUGCAAGUCGAACGGAAAGGCCCUGCUUUUGUGGGGUGCUCGAGUGGCGAACGGGUGAGUAACACGUGAGUAACCUGCCCUUGACUUUGGGAUAACUUCAGGAAACUGGGGCUAAUACCGGAUAGGAGCUCCUGCUGCAUGGUGGGGGUUGGAAAGUUUCGGCGGUUGGGGAUGGACUCGCGGCUUAUCAGCUUGUUGGUGGGGUAGUGGCUUACCAAGGCUUUGACGGGUAGCCGGCCUGAGAGGGUGACCGGCCACAUUGGGACUGCGAUAAGGCCCAGACGCCUACGGGAGGCAGCAGUGGGGAAUAUUGCACAAUGGGCGGAAGCCUGAUGCAGCAACGCCGCGUGCGGGAUGACGGCCUUCGGGUUGUAAACCGCUUUCGCCUGUGACGAAGCGUGAGUGACGGUAAUGGGUAAAGAAGCACCGGCUAACUACGUG
rnacentral:rRNA from 1 species